UCCUGAGGAUGAUCAUGUCCCAAGCUGGUUCCAAAAUGUCUGAAGAAGGUUUUAUGGACAAAAGCCCCACCUCCAGCUGUCAAUGAGUUAUUCCAGGUCAGCUUUGCUGACAGAAGAAUUCUGAUGGAUGGCCGUUGUCAAGUUACCUCCCUGUGCUGUUUUUCAACACCCUCUACCUCCAUGCAAUAGAACAAAAAUACAGAGCUAUAUCCUUCUCAAGGAGGUCAAACCUGGCAAGACACUUCCUGGUGGUUUGUGUUUGGAAAGAGAACCGUUUCCUGAUAUAUCAGCGGUGACUCUUUCUGUUGCAAAUGACUGAAAACAGCUUAGGAAAAGAAAGGUGGUGCCGAGUGUCUGUUUCCUUGCUUCUCUUCGUAUUCUAAUCCGUGGUUCAGGAGAAACGCACAGAUUAGCACGGUCUGCGAACAUUCAAGUAGGGUCUACUCACGUCAUUUCAACACAAAAUCCCUCGGAAGUAAACCCAGA